CCUACGGGAGGCAGCAGUGGGGAAUUUUGGACAAUGGGCGCAAGCCUGAUCCAGCAAUGCCGCGUGAGUGAAGAAGGCCUUCGGGUUGUAAAGCUCUUUUGUCAGGGAAGAAACGGUGGGGGCUAAUAUCCUCCACUAAUGACGGUACCUGAAGAAUAAGCACCGGCUAACUACGUGCCAGCAGCCGCGGUAAUACGUAGGGUGCAAGCGUUAAUCGGAAUUACUGGGCGUAAAGCGUGCGCAGGCGGUUUUGUAAGUUUGUCGUGAAAUCCCCGGGCUCAACCUGGGAAUGGCGAUGAAGACUGCAAGGCUAGAAUCUGGCAGAGGGGGGUAGAAUUCCACGUGUAGCAGUGAAAUGCGUAGAGAUGUGGAGGAACACCGAUGGCGAAGGCAGCCCCCUGGGUCAAGAUUGACGCUCAUGCACGAAAGCGUGGGGAGCAAACAGGAUUAGAUACCCUGGUAGUCCACGCCCUAAACGAUGUCUACUAGUUGUCGGGUUUUAAUUAACUUGGUAACGCAGCUAACGCGUGAAGUAGACCGCCUGGGGAGUACGGUCGCAAGAUUAAAACUCAAAAGGAAUUGACGGCUGGAGACGUGCCGACGGACGACGACGAGGGAGGAGG
rnacentral:rRNA from 1 species